rnacentral:rRNA from 1 species
GUGUGGACCUGCGGUGCAUUAGCUAGUUGGUAAGGUAACGGCUUACCAAGGCAAUGAUGCAUAGCCGAGUUGAGAGACUGAUCGGCCACAUUGGGACUGAGACACGGCCCAAACUCCUACGGAAGGCAGCAG